CCCGCUUUCACUAACGUUCUCAAAGUGAGAAAAUUCUCAGCUCAAGAUUGUCUCAGAACUGUCUGAGAAUUGUCUCAGCUGAGAAAUUUCUCAAGUUGGCUUUCUCUAAACUUUUUCUCAAGUCUUGAGAUUUUUCUCAGCUGAGCUGUAAUUUUUUAAGACAUAAGCGGCCAAACAUCCAAGGAGCCGCGUGAACUUUCCCACAAACACGAGUGCAUAGUUGGGGUUAGCGGAUUUAUUCAUUUGUUGAGACGAAACGAAGCGUUGAGAAAUGUUCAUAAACAACAUGUACAGUUUCGGGAUAUAUCCAAAUUGUAUGUUUGUACAAAGGUCACAGCCUGCUGAUGAAGAUCCUCAGCUUAUUAUACAGAGGUCAGGCUUGAGCUAUGUGCUGAUUCAAAAGAUGCUAAUGACAGUGGAUAAUCCAUUCUGAGUUGUUCUAGGAUCAUUCACCAACGUUUCAAAACACUGAUGGAACUGAAGGCAGUACAUGUUCUGGUGUCUGGCCUGUGAUUUCAAGUAUAGACUAUACUUUUAAUUGAUGUACCUCCUCCUGAUGUAUCUCCUUGAAUACAAUAUAUCUGCCAUGUGAAAGGAACAAGCUGCAAGAUAUACUAUGGAAGUGGGUGCCUAUGUAAAAAACAUUUUAUUUAAAGAAUAUAAGAAAUAUGACACUAAACUACUGAAAAGGUGCACAGGGGACAUUUUUGUGUGUAUAGACUUUCAUCAAGAUUCUGAGAAAGUUAAGUUAUUAAACAAAAAUAGUCAUAUUGUGUCUUCAAAGCUAAAAAGAUUAAGAUCUUAGGAAAGAUUAGGACUCAAGAAAAGUAAUGGGGUAAUGAAACUGUAGUGUUCAACAUUUAAAUUUAAAAAUACACUGUUGAAAACUAGCCAACAUGUAAUUGUCACACUUUUUUGGGUGCACAGGGGACACAAUUAGCUAUAUAAUUUAAUAUAACUUUAACUCUUAGGCCCUUCCUAAAUUUCUAUAAUGAACUUGUCCAUUUUACAAUUUGGACGGUAUCAUUAAGUGUUAAAAGGGGUGCUAACCAAAAGAUACUGACUGAAUGGCGAACAGUGCAGAUCAAGAUCAGACUGCACUAAUGUGCAGGCUGAUCAUGAUCUACACUUGUCACAAAGGUAGGACCAACCAUGAAUAGCAUGAUAAGGGUUAAAACUGCUUGAGCCAUUCAACUGAAAUUACAAACAUUUGUUGACUACAUUGAUUGGAUAUAUGUAAUUUGCCCAAAAACACUUUAUAAAACUGAACUGAAUUAAAAUAAGGUGAGAGAGAAGAAAAAGCUUAAUUAUUUAAAAAAAAAAAACAACAAAAAAACAAACAAUAUAGCCGAUAGAUGCACGUUAUAUUGAAGGCAUUAUCUUUGUUUACAUUAAAUUUAAAUGUGGCUGUCACGUUGUUUGUUAGAAAUAUAAGACACAUUAAUUUCUUGUUUUCGAAUUUUGAUUAUUGCAUUUAUGUGUCAAAGAUUGGCAUGGGUGAAAAUGUUACUGAAAAUAUUAAAUCAGUUUUUAUUGAUUAACUCCCUUUUUGGCUUGUGCAGUAUAAAGUCGUGUGCAUCAUUGAAAGUAUAUGUAGUACUUUUCUAACCAACUGAUAAACAUUCUUUUUUUGAAAAGUUUGUUGCAUAAAGUUAUAGGAGGUGUUUUUGUAUGAAAUUUACAUUGUGUAGGCCUUUAAGCUGUUUACUUUAAAAACCAUCUUGUAUUUUUGAUAAUUUCUUAUGUAAUUAAGUCAUUUCUAAUGUCUUCUCUUUUAAUUGACCCUGAGUGGCAGUUCUUGUUAACUACAAAACCAUCUACUAUUAUUGGUUAACUAAUUUUUGGAAUAGUCAGCAUUUUAACAUUGUUUCAUCACAAUGCACUCCUUUAUGGGAAUAGGGAGGCAAUAGCACAUUUAACUAUUAAAACUAAUUAUUAAACUAUGUCAUUUGAAUGAAAACAGCCUUAGACACACCUGAAAAUCAGAUAAAUUUGAAAAUACAUGCAAAGUUUUUAAAAUGUUUUUGGAUUUAAGUUAUAACAUUUUCUUAUUUUUAUCUUCAAUUGGUUAUAAAUGCAACCGAUUGUUUUUAUCAACAUCUAUUGUCAGGUGUGUUUCGUCCCAAUUUAAUUUUGUGACCCAUACAGUGUUUCCAGGACUCAUCAGUAAGAGAAACACCAUCAACUUGAGUCAACAACAUAACUUUUAACAUGUAAACAGAAGUUAAUUAUAAACAUUUUCAAAGGAACAUAGUGAACUGAAAUAGUAAAUGAAAAUUAUAAAAGAAAUGAAAACCUGUACACUUUGGCAUUUCAUAGUUCUUUUUAAAAAUCAAAAUCUGAGAAGACAAUGACAGUGAAUAUAAGAUUUUACUUAAAAUUAUUAUUGUAAAUCAUACUGGAAUCUAAAACUUACCGGUAAUAUAUUUUUUAUCAAUAGCAUAGAGUUAAGAUUUUCUGAUAGUUUUGGAAAGAUUUGAAAAACAUUGUACUUUAAAUGUUCAACCAAUAUUUUAGAUCAAAUUAUGAAAUGCCAUAUUUAUUUAUAAAUGAAUAAAACUGUUGUCAACUUAUAAUAAUUUCUGUUAACUUUAA